AAAAUCCGUCAACUUUAAAAAUCGUGAGGGUUCAAGUCCCUCUAUCCCCA
rnacentral:tRNA from 4 species